GACGAACGCUGGCGGCGUGCUUAACACAUGCCAGUCGAACGGUGAAGCUCCAGCUUGCUGGAGUGGAUCAGUGGCGAACGGGUGAGUAACACGUGAGCAACCUGCCCCUGACUCUGGAAUAAGCGCUGGAAACGGCGUCUAAUACUGGAUACGAGAAGGGUCCGCAUGGGCACUUUCUGGAAAGUUUUUCGGUUGGGGAUGGGCUCGCGGCCUAUCAGCUUGUUGGUGAGGUAAUGGCUCACCAAGGCGACGACGGGUAGCCGGCCUGAGAGGGCGACCGGACACGCUGGGACUGAGACACGGCACAGACUCCUACGGGAGGCAGCAGUGGAGAAUAUUGCACAAUGGGCGAAAGCCUGAUGCAGCGACGCCGCGUGGGGGAUGACGGCCUUCGGGUUGUAAACCUCUUUCAGCAGGGAAGAAGCGAAAGUGACGGUACCUGCAGAAGAAGCUCCGGCUAACUACGUG
rnacentral:rRNA from 1 species